GGAGAGAUGGCCAAGUGGUUCAAGGUGUAGCAUUGGAACUGCUAUGUAGGAUUUGGCUUACAGAGGUUCAAAUCCCUCCUUUUCCA